rnacentral:tRNA from 1 species
AGGGGUAUAGCUCAGUUGGUAGAGCAACGGUCUCCAAAACCGUAGGUCGAGAGUUCGAGCCUUUCUGCCCCUGCCA